CAUUUUGGCGGUUUGCUUUCCUAAGUACUAGUGCCGCAGGAGUUAGGUUCGUGUCCGCAAUACCUCCUGCUGCCCAAGUGCUUAUUAAAGCGGCGGUGGUCCAACAGUGA
rnacentral:pre_miRNA from 2 species